rnacentral:rRNA from 1 species
UGCCUGGCGGCACUAGCGCGGUGGUCCCACCUGACCCCAUGCCGAACUCAGAAGUGAAACGCCGUAGCGCCGAUGGUAGUGUGGGGUCUCCCCAUGCGAGAGUAGGGAACUGCCAGGCU